rnacentral:rRNA from 1 species
UACGUAGGCAGCAAGCGUUGUUCGGAAUUACUGGGCGUAAAGAGUGUGUAGGCGGUGUUCUAAGUUUGUCGUGAAAUCUCCCGGCUUAACUGGGAGGGUGCGGCGAAAACUGGAAUGCUAGAGGAUGGGAGAGGUAAGCGGAAUUCCUGGUGUAGCGGUGGAAAUGCGUAGAGUAUCAGGAGGAACACCUGUGGUGUAGACAGCUUACGUGGACCUUUCUGACGCUGAGACACGAAAGCGUGGGGUAGCAAACAGG